ensembl:snoRNA
GUUCCUUUCACAGUUGCUAUCUCUACAACUCAACAGCAAAAAGACAACCAAAUUAAAAAAAACACAGAGGGGUAAAGUUAGUCUCCAUUAAACUCAGGGAGGAGACUGGAAAACUCCUCUUUGGAUCCUGUCUAUAGUCACAGGU